CCUCACAGGUCACCUAGUAGAUGAGCCCUUCCGUCUAUUCAAUUAAAUGCAAAAGGAAACUACUCAGCCUUGGCUUCAAGGAACCCAGAUGGCCCUUCCUCCCCUCAGAGCGGAGCUUUGUUCUGAGAGAGGGGGCCGUGGGGCAGUGGAAUUACUCUGUGUGGCUUCAGUGGGCGAGGAGAGGGGCUCACUGUUUCAUUUGAGCCCAACUUUCCUUGGUUCCUGGGCUGCGAGCCUCUUACCACGGGGAGGACUCUCCUUUUCUACGGCAGGCUCCCAGUUCAUAGUGAAUGCCUCUUUCCAAACACUGACCACACUUGAGAUUAUGCGCUUUUUAUCUACCUUCUCCAAGAGAUUGUAAACUCUAUCAGUCAAAGUUUGUUGAAGAUUGCAACUGGCUGGGGCUUCCCUGAAUCUGUCUGUAAUGAGUUGGAAUACCUGGUAUAUGUUAUGAAGCCACAGUUGAUUUUCUUUCUGGAUGUUUCCAUUGUGGCACGCCAAUUUUCCAAAGCAGCUUCACAGUGCACCGUGGUAAUCCCAUUUUACAGAGCAGAACAAGUAAGGUGAUGUUUCUUGGGUAAGACAACCGAGAACAGGAUUACUGACUAUAAGUUUGUGAAUCUUCUCACGGGUGAUAUUUAUUCCUCUGAAACCUAGACAGACCUGAGUUGGAAUCACACCAGCUCCACUUUCACUCAUCCAUUCAUCCAACAAGUCUUUAUUGAGCGUUUUCCACAAGCCUGAUGCUACUAAAUGCUGAGAACACACAAAGAAGCCCAAGUCUCAGCUUUCAGGAAGCUCAUAUUCUAAUUGGGUUGACCACUACAGACAAGUCAAUAAAUAAGAGGAAAACUUCA
rnacentral:lncRNA from 1 species